rnacentral:rRNA from 1 species
GAUGAACGCUGGCGGCGUGCUUAACACAUGCAAGUCGAACGGAAAGGCCCAAGCUUGCUUGGGUACUCGAGGGGCGAACGGGUGAGUAACACGUGGGUUAUCUGCCCUGCACUUCGGGAUAAGCCUGGGAAACUGGGUCUAAUACCGGAUAGGACCACUUCUUGGAGGUUGUGGUGGAAAGUGUUCUCGGUGUGGGAUGGGCUAGCGGCCUAUCAGCUUGUUGGUGGGGGAUUGGCCUACCGAGGAGUCGGCGGGUAGCCGGCCGGAGAGGGUGUACGGCGACCUUGGACAUUGGGUCCGGCCCACACUCCUGAGGCCUGCAGCAGGUGGCAGUGUUGAACAAUGGGCGCAAGCCUGAUGCCGCGACGCCGCGUGCGGGGUGACGGCCUUCGGGUUGUAAACUCCUUUCCCUAGGGACGCAGCGUUUUUGUGACGGUACCUGGAGAAGAAGCACCGGCUAACUACGUG